rnacentral:rRNA from 1 species
CCUACGGGCGGCAGCAGUGAGGAAUAUUGGUCAAUGGACGAGAGUCUGAACCAGUCAAGUAGCGUGAAGGAUGACUGCCCUAUGGGUUGUAAACUUCUUUUAUAUGGGAAUAAAAUGUUCCACGUGUGGGAUUUUGUAUGUACCAUAUGAAUAAGGAUCGGCUAACUCCGUGCCAGCAGCCGCGGUAAUACGGAGGAUCCGAGCGUUAUCCGGAUUUAUUGGGUUUAAAGGGAGCGUAGGUGGAUUGUUAAGUCAGUUGUGAAAGUUUGCGGCUCAACCGUAAAAUUGCAGUUGAAACUGGCAGUCUUGAGUGCAGUAGAGGUGGGCGGAAUUCGUGGUGUAGCGGUGAAAUGCUUAGAUAUCACGAAGAACUCCGAUUGCGAAGGCAGUUCACUGGACUGCAACUGACACUGAGGCUCGAAAGUGUGGGUAUCAAACAGGAUUAGAUACCCCUGUAGUC